UGUGGCUUCGCCAAGUGGUAGGGCACCGGGCUUUGACCCCGGGAGAGGAACACUCAUUCAUUGGUUCGAAUCCAAUAGCCACAG
rnacentral:tRNA from 2 species